rnacentral:rRNA from 1 species
CAACAGGGAUUGCCCUAGUAACGGCGAGUGAAGCGGCAACAGCUCAAAUUUGAAAUCUGGCUUCGGCCCGAGUUGUAAUUUGCAGAGGAUGUUUCUGGCGCGGUGCCUUCCGAGUUCCCUGGAACGGGACGCCACAGAGGGUGAGAGCCCCGUAUGGUUGGACACCAAGCCUGUGUGAAACUCCUUCGACGAGUCGAGUAGUUUGGGAAUGCUGCUCUAAAUGGGAGGUAAAUCUCUUCUAAAGCUAAAUACCGGCCAGAGACCGAUAGCGCACAAGUAGAGUGAUCGAAAGAUGAAAAGCACCUUGAAAAGGGGGUUAAACAGUACGUGAAAUUGUUGAAAGGGAAGCGCUCAUGACCAGACUUGUGCCGGGCGGUUCAUCCGGGGUUCUCCCCGGUGCACUCCGCCCGGUUCAGGCCAGCAUCGGUUCUCGUUGGGGGAUAAGAACGGUAGGAACGUGGCCCUCCUUCGGGGGGGUGUUAUAGCCUGCCGUACGAUACCCUGACGGGGACCGAGGUUCGCGCUCCGCAAGGAUGCUGGCGUAAUGGUCAUCAGCGACCCGUCUUGAAACACGGACCAAGGAGUCGUCCAUUAGAGCGAGCGUUUGGGUGUAAAACCCGCACGCGUAAUGAAAGUGAAAUUAGGUGAGAGCUUCGGCGCAUCAUCGACCGAUCCUGAUGUUCUCGGAUGGAUUUGAGUAAGAGUUUUAACGGACGGACCCGAAAGACAGUGAACUAUGCUUGUAUAGGGUGAAGCCAGAGGAAACUCUGGUGGAGGCUCGCAGCGGUUCUGACGUGCAAAUCGAUCGUCAAAUAUGAGCAUGGGGGCGAAAGACUAAUCGAACUGUCUAGUA